rnacentral:tRNA from 1 species
GUUCGGGUAGUUUAACGGAAAGAACAACGGCCUCCUAAGCUGUAGAUGCGGGUUCGACUCCCGCUCCGAAUACCA